GACAGAGGGUGCAAACGUUGUUCGGAAUUACUGGGCGUAAAGCGAGUGUAGGCGGUUUCAUAAGUCGGGUGUGAAAGCCCCGGGCUCAACCCGGGAAGUGCACUCGAAACUGUGAGGCUAGAGUAUCGGAGAGGUUGGUGGAAUUCUCGGUGUAGAGGUGAAAUUCGUAGAUAUCGAGAGGAACACCGGUGGCGAAAGCGGCCAACUGGACGAAUACUGACGCUGAGACUCGAAAGCGUGGGGAGCAAACAGG
rnacentral:rRNA from 1 species